rnacentral:rRNA from 1 species
UACGUAGGGGGCAAGCGUUGUCCGGAUUUAUUGGGCGUAAAGCGCGUGUAGGCGGCCACGCAGGUCCGCUGUGAAAACUCGAGGCUCAACCUCGAGCUGUCGGUGGAAACCGCGUGGCUAGAGUCCGGAAGAGGGGACUGGAAUUCCCGGUGUAGCGGUGGAAUGCGCAGAUAUCAGGAGGAACACCGGUGGCGAAGGCGGGGUCUCUGGGCCGUAACUGACGCUGAGGAGCGAAAGUGUGGGGAGCGAACAGG